rnacentral:rRNA from 1 species
UACGUAGGCAGCGAGCGUUGUUCGGAAUUACUGGGCGUAAAGAGUGUGUAGGCGGUGCUCUAAGUUCGGUGUGAAAUCUCCUGGCUUAACUGGGAGGGUGCGCCGGAAACUGGAGUGCUUGAGCGUGGGAGAGGAAAGCGGAAUUCCUGGUGUAGCGGUGAAAUGCGUAGAUAUCAGGAGGAACACCUGUGGUGUAGACGGCUUUCUGGACCAUAGCUGACGCUGAGACACGAAAGCGUGGGUAGCAAACAGG